rnacentral:rRNA from 1 species
UACAGAGGUCUCAAGCGUUGUUCGGAUUCAUUGGGCGUAAAGGGUGCGUAGGCGGCGCGGUAAGUCGGGUGUGAAAUCUCGGGGCUUAACUCCGAAACUGCAUUCGAUACUGCCGUGCUUGAGGACUGGAGAGGAGACUGGAAUUUACGGUGUAGCGGUGAAAUGCGUAGAUAUCGUAAGGAAGACCAGUGGCGAAGGCGAGUUCCUGGAC